GGAGGGGUGGCAGAGCGGUCGAAUGCGGUGGUCUUGAAAACCACUGGCCGGCAACCCCGGCCCGGGGGUUCAAAUCCCUCCCCCUCCG
rnacentral:tRNA from 1 species